CAGGGAGGUUUCUGGUCAGAGCGGGGAGGCAGCAGCCUUGGGAGCUCUUGGCCCCUGAUAGUAAAUACAGCUGGUCACAUUAGAGCUCUUGAAUAAUUUAUGGGAUGACUCUUCAAAAUAGUAAAUCCUCCCCCCCGCCCCUUGAGCCUGCUCCAUCCUUCAUCAGAUGGUGUGGCUGGUGAGUGGUUUAUGAAUAUUUAAGGAGUUUUGCUAAAUUCAUAGAACCUUGUAAAGAUGGUUUAAAAAUGUCAAGCGAAAUAUUUGCACGUCGCGUUUUGCACCAGCUGCGUGGCCACGGGGGCAGGACAUGGGAGCCAACUGCAAAACACUUCCCCAGAAAAUGAGCCACGAGCAAAAUGCAGGCAAGGAGAAACUUCGAACGAGCCCUAAUUACACUGAUUGCCUCCUCUUCGGCUCAUGGGAGAGCUGCGAGGGACCAGGGAGGCAGAAAUGCAAGGGAGACCCCGGCAGUGCCCACAUCUCAGGAAGCUUGUGAGCGGCUCUGUGUACCCAAGACAUCUCUUUGCAGCACAUUCCCGUUAGCCUAGCCUGGAGC
rnacentral:lncRNA from 1 species